rnacentral:rRNA from 1 species
CCGCUGAAUUUAAGCAUAUAAUUAAGCGGAGGAAAAGAAACUAACAAGGAUUCCCCUAGUAACGGCGAGUGAAGCGGGAAAAGCUCAAAAUGUGAAUCUGCGUAACCCGCCUUAACCGGCGGGCGCGCCGAAUUGUGGUCUAUAGAGGUGUCGUCGGCCGCGGUCUCGGGCCAAGUCCCUUGGAAAAGGGCAGCUGAGAGGGUGAGACUCCCGUUCUUGCCUGAGAUCCGCGCGCCUUGGCAGGCAUUCUCGAAGAGUCGAGUAUUUUGGGAUUGAUGCUCAAAGUGGGAGGUAAAUUCCUUCUAAAGCUAAAUAUAGGUGGGAGACCGAUAGCGCACAAGUACCGUGAGGGAAAGAUGCAAAGAACUUUGAAAAGAGAGUUAAAGAGUACCUGAAAUUGCUGAAAUGGAAGCGAAGGAAACCAGUGCCACAGGCAGGUCAUAUUUCCUCCGCCGCUUGCGGUGGGGGCGCUGUGUCUUGUCGCCGGCCAGCAUGGGUUCUCUUCGGGGCAAGUGGCCGUUCGGGAGGUAGCCCCCUCGUGGGGUGUUCUAACCGGGCGGUUCUGUCCUGGGGGGGAUCGAGGAUAGUCGCGCAAGCGCUCGUGAUGCUGCAAAAUUAUCC